ACCCUUCGAGAACCUCUCCACCGAAAUCUUUCCCUGCCCAAACCCUAAACUCCCUCUCUACCGAACUUCUCUGCCCAACCCUCUUCGGUGAACCCCUGUCUGCCCUCUUCGAUGAAUGGGAGGAGACAAGGUAUGAUUUCUCUUGAAUGGGAGAAGCAUGGAAAGAAGACACUUUUCCCCCUAAACCCUUCGCUCUACUCCGGCUUCUUGAAUGGAGGAGACGAGGAAUGGUUUCUCUUGAUUUCACAUCACCUAGAAGUAACUGGCGCUCAAUCAGGAUGAGACACCUUUGCUUUAUAGCUUGGUGUUUGGUGAAGAAGUUGUAAAUGAUGCUACAUCAGUGGUGCUUUUUAACAUGAUUCAAAAAUGGGCAAGAUCGAUGAGUGCUUACAUUAUUAAACAGUUGCAUUUUGGAAGGUAUGAAAAAAUAUCAACUAUUUUUUUCUGGUCUCUACAUUUUUCUCUUUGUAGGCAAACCCCUCUCCUCUCCUAAACCAUAAUUAACAAGUCUUGUUUUUAGGAGUAUUUUGAAAUGAACUAUGAUUUAAUGAAAUAGUUUGGAUGUAUUUAGAAUUAUAGUGUUUGAUAUAUUUUGUGGAUUCAAAUAGAUAAUCAAUUAUGAUUUAUCACGGCCUUGAGCUUGCAAAAAAAAAAAAAAAUAGUCACCCAUGUGUUAGAAAAUAUAAGUAUAUAUUAUUAUAUUAAAAAAUCAUAUGAAAUUUGAGUUCUCUUUAUUAUCCCAAUUUUACUUAUGAGAAUCAUAUGAAAUUUGAGUUAUCUCCAUAAAGAAGUCGAAGAGUAUUCACCUGAAUGUCACAACAUAAUUAACAUUGCUGAUGAUGCAAUUAAAAUUAUAUUUGGCAAGGAAGCUCAAGAUAGAGUGCAUGGAAUGAGCUGAUGAUGCUGCAGCGUGUAGCAGCAUGCAGUUGAUGUGUUAGGACU